GCCUCAGUUCAAGUGUGAUCCGAUCAUCUCUUCCUACUAUGAAUGAACAUCAGAAGAGUAGUUUUGAAUGGGAGGAGUCAAGACUUUGAUACACAGUUUGAACCCAUGGAUGAAACGACCCAUCGGAUGAAUGCAUGUCAGAGAAGUGUGACCCUCUCUCUUUCUCUCUCCUCUCCCCUUUUUCUUUUUUCUCACUCUCACUCGGUAUCCGGAGUUUGCAGGCCUUUCUUUGUGAUCCGUGGUGGAUAAUGGUCAUUCCUGCUGCUCCAGUAAACAGUGGAUCAGGAGAGCAUUUCCAGAUUGUUUCAUCUGUCAAAUUGUAAUAUGGACAUUCCCAUUCACUGCUGUCGUGAACUGCUUAUGUGAUCAGUGCUAGAUUUGUUGGACAGGGCCGAAGAUCAAUUGGUCACAGAAACCCCCAUCUUCACCCAGUGUAGAGCGUGGGAAAGCCUGAUUGGGUGUGUGUGCGUGUAACGUUUCUUGUCUAGAUGUGAAAACAGAUGAAAUACAUAUAGAAUUAACAGCCAUUCUGCCAACUGAAUUGAUAAGUGACUUUGUACAUUGUUUGGGGUCUGUUUGUACCCCAAUAGUUUGCAUACAAGUAUGUAUGUAGUAUGUAAUUGUAUGCUAUACUGUAUAUAAUAUAUACUGUAAUAAUAAAGGCCCAUUGAAUGAAAUAUAUAUAUAUUUAAUUAUUAAAUAUUUAUAUAAAAUUAAAUUAAAUAUAUAUACACAACAAACGUUCUUGUCCCCUUUGAUCUAUGUUUGUGUGUAGUUCUAUAUUUGUCUAAACCUAUAAUAAACUGUGAUAUGAUGUAUUUUCUUUGUGCUUUUCACAGGUCAAGAAUUCCUUGUCUUGUCCUUGACACUUUUUUUUUUUUAUCUUUCUUCAUUAUAUCUCUAUUAAUGUGACCUGUUGCUACAAACCACAUUUUUCUGAUAAAAUAACCAAUUUAUUCUCUUUAUAGCUUUGCAAAGAGACAAUUAUGUUGUAAAAUUUGGGAUGUGUGCUCCUCAUUCAAAGAUGUUGUACCAAUAUGAAGAUGUUAAUGGAAGUAUGAUGUCAUGCAUUUUAACCUGUAGAACAUGCCCAGACCUGUUCAUUUUGUCUUUUCUUCUCCCAUAAUUACCUUUGCUUCAACUCAAUUUCAAGCUGAACACUCAAUUUACUGAAGCCAAAUUCAUUAAUUUUGAAGAAUACAUGCAGCACUUCAAGAAUCAUUUAAUAAUUUCAAUAUGUUAGUUUUGAUUAUAUUGAAAAUGUUCAAAGGCUCGUAAAUUGGACAGAAUGGUGGAUGGACAGACAGACGGACGGACGGAUCGAUCAAUGGACAGAUAAGUGGAUGGAUGAACCCCAUUGGCAGUACUAUGGUACAGAGAUGCUAAUACCACGGUGCUUUGGUAUAUACUGUGAAUGGCUACCAUAUUUACAUACCAAUGUCUUCUAAGGAAUAUCGAGGAUUGUAUGUCCAAAAAAAGCUGGUAUUCCAUGGUAUAGGUACAAAAUGCAUGACUUAAGAGAGAUUAUAUUUGAGUACUACACUCACACAGGUUGAGAAGCAGAAAAAAAUAUUGAGAAUAAGAUCUUUAAUAAAUUAAAUUACUCAAAAGACUAUAUGUCAGUUUGGCAGCUGAGAUUUAGUCAAAGUAGAGUGAAUUGUCAGUAUUUUGAGAUGAAUUUCUCAUAUUCCAGACCAAACACACACACACACACACACACACACUCAGCAGGGUGAUCGUUUCUCCUGGGUCAGGAGGUACAUGGGAAUUAUCACUUUUGGAGACUCUCACCUGUUUUCUUUGUGACCAUACAAAUCUCUGUGUCCCACGUCCAGCAUGUGAAACUGCUGUGUAUGCGUGGACUCAAACAUAUGUCUUUCAGAUGGUGUCUGUCACUGUGAUUUAAUGUUCUGGAGUGUGUGAAUCCACAUAAAUAUAUCAAUAUAUCAGAUUGCAUUUGAUAUUGGAAUUUU